rnacentral:rRNA from 1 species
GACGAACGCUGGCGGCGUGCUUAACACAUGCAAGUCGAGCGGUAAGGCCCUUUCGGGGGUACACGAGCGGCGAACGGGUGAGUAACACGUGGGUGACCUGCCCUCAGCUCUGGGAUAAGCCUGGGAAACCGGGUCUAAUACCGGAUAUGACUCCAUGACGCAUGUUGUGGGGUGGAAAGCCUUGUGCGGCUGAGGAUGGGCCCGCGGCCUAUCAGCUUGUUGGUGGGGUGAUGGCCUACCAAGGCGACGACGGGUAGCCGGCCUGAGAGGGCGACCGGCCACACUGGGACUGAGACACGGCCCAGACUCCUACGGGAGGCAGCAGUGGGGAAUCUUGCGCAAUGGGCGAAAGCCUGACGCAGCGACGCCGCGUGGGGAUGAC